rnacentral:rRNA from 1 species
AACGAACGCUGGCGGCGCGCCUAAUACAUGCAAGUCGAGCGAGAAGGUGUAGCAAUACACUUGUAAAGCGGCGAACGGGUGAGGAAUGCAUGGGUAACCUACCCUCGAGUGGGGAAUAACUAGCCGAAAGGUUAGCUAAUACCGCAUACGUUUCCGGAACUUCGGUUUCGGAAAGAAAGCAAUACCGUGGGUAUUGCGCUCAUGGAUGGGCUCAUGUCCUAUCAGCUUGUUGGUGAGGUAACGGCUCACCAAGGCUUCGACGGGUAGCUGGUCUGAGAGGACGAUCAGCCACACUGGCACUGCGACACGGGCCAGACUCCUACGGAGGCAGCAGUAAGGAAUAUUGCGCAAUGGACGAAAGUCUGACGCAGCGACGCCGCUGGGGGGAUGAAGGUCUUCGGAUUGUAAACCCUUCCGGUAGGGGAAGGAUGGAGUGGGUAACGACCUUGG